CGCCAGCAGCCGCGGUAAAACGUAGGAGACGAACGUUAUCCGGAGUUACUGGGCGUAAAGGGCGUGUAGGCGGUUUGUUAAGUCUGGCGUGAAAGCUCUCGGCUAAACCGGGAGAGGUCGUUGGAUACUGGCGAACUUGAGGAUGGUAGAGGCGUGUGGAAUUCCGGGUGUAGUGGUGAAAUGCGUAGAGAUCCGGAGGAACACCAGUGGCGAAGGCGACACGCUGGGCCAUACCUGACGCUAAAGCGCGACAGCAUGGGGAGCAAACGGGAUUAGAAACCCCGGUAGUCCAUGCCGUAAACGAUGCCAGCUAGAUGUUCAGAUCUCGCAAGAGAUCGGGGUAUCGAAGCAAACGCGAUAAGCUGGCCGCCUGGGGAGUACGGUCGCAAGGCUAAAACUCAAAGGAAUUGACGGGGGCCCGCACA
rnacentral:rRNA from 1 species